UGAACGCUGGCGGCAGGCCUAACACAUGCAAGUCGAGCGGAUGAAAGGAGCUUGCUCCUGGAUUCAGCGGCGGACGGGUGAGUAAUAUAUCGGAACGUGCCCAGUCGUGGGGGGAUAACGUAGUGAAAAUUACGCUAAUACCGCAUACGAUCUAAGGAUGAAAGCGGGGGAUCGCAAGACCUCGCGCGAUUGGAGCGGCCGAUAUCAGAUUAGGUAGUUGGUAGGGUAAAGGCCUACCAAGCCAACGAUCUGUAGCUGGUCUGAGAGGACGACCAGCCACACUGGGACUGAGACACGGCCCAGACUCCUACGGGAGGCAGCAGUGGGGAAUUUUGGACAAUGGGCGCAAGCCUGAUCCAGCAAUGCCGCGUGCAGGAUGAAGGCCUUCGGUUGUAAACUGCUUUGUACGGUACGAAACGGUCCGUUUCUAAUACAGAGGGCGAAAUGACGGUACCGUAACGAAUAAGCACCGGCUAACUACGUGCCAGCA
rnacentral:rRNA from 1 species